CAGCGUUUCCCUUUAGCAAGGCGAUCUUUGCUGCAACUUUCUCCAAGUCGUAUGCAGUGAUUCAUUCAGCUCCUUGCAAUAAACCAACAGCUGAGGAUCUCAAAGCGUUUUGCGAAUGUGAAUAAUCUCAGGAAUUAAGCCCAAAGCACCGAUGAGAAGAAAUGCAAUAUUAUCAUCUCCAUGUUUUCGACUUUACAACACUUGAUCCGAUGCCAUGCCAUGCCAGUGAACACGUUCACUGCAUCGCCCAUCUCCCUGGAGAACAUCUGUCCAGGCUUCCUUGGACACUUUCUUUAAGAAAGCAGACGAGACUCCAGAAAAACCUGCAGCCAAGACUCCUGAGAAGACUCCAGCCAAGACCCUUCAAAAAGUCCAACCAAGAGCCCUUCAAAAACUCCAGCAAAGUCACCUCAAAGAAGUCCUUCCAAAUCAAUAUGAUUUGCUUAUUACAAUAUAAAUACAAUAAUGUAUUGUAUUUAUAUAAUAUACCUACAAUGUAACUAUAUUACUCAUCUAUAAUUGAUUGAGUACAAAAUUCUGGGGUAUUUUUGGUGAAAAUACAGUAUUGGGCCUUGGUUCAGGAACCAAUCCCCCAUUUAUAACAUGGUUUCCGAUGGGAAAAUCAGUUCCGAGUUACAACAUUUUGACUUAAGACGUGGUUUUCAGGAACCAAUUGUGGUGUAAGUCCAAAGACUGCCCGUAUAACAACUCAGAGAAGCAUCUAUAAGAUUCAUAUGAUGUAAAAUAUUAGGUCUCCUCGCAUUAUUUCAGUAUCCAGAGAGUGGAAAUAAGAGUACGUCUAGCUAUAGGACUUCAACAAACUCUUGUCUUUUGACAGUGGUAGCUCUGGUAGUGUCUGUGAUGUAAUCUUUUUAUGUAAUCUUUUUUAUGGUAUAUCUAGCUUUUGCAAACUAUAUCUAACUGAAUACUUAAGGCAACUUCCUGGUGCUGGGAGGGGUGUGGUAUGUGUGUGUUAAGAGAUGCUUGCAGAGCACAGCGUGUGGGAUGCGGAGGAUAACUGGAAUGCCUCCCUAACACCAGCAGGAUAAUGUCUCCCUGACACCUGUAAGAUAGCAAGAAGUUCAGAAAAAGGUCUCAUUAUAAUGCUAAAAAUCACACCCCUGGGCAGAGCAAAAGUAUGUUAAUGAAACAUAUAUGUAUGUAAAUGAAAUACAUGGCUCAAACAUAGGUAUAGAAACAUGCUCAGUAGCGAACGUCUUAUGUCAGUGGCUUGUAACCAAUCACUGAGCGAUACACUUGAAAACGUACAUAUAAAAGGUACCCAAAGGUAGAAACCGGGGUGCUUGUUUUGCGAACAAUCGCCAAGCACCCCUCUCUGCGCAGACUUGAAACAACAAAGAUUAAGUUGGAUCCUCCACCCCUGUGUGUUUAUUGGCAAAAGCGCACCCGGCAC